AGCUGUUGGCCAUACUGUUCCAGUUCAGGGACUCCUGCAACAAAAAAAGAUCAGCUGUUGGAGGAACGCAAGAAAGGCCUUUGGGGAGUGCCAUGGCCGCAAGGGUGAAAGCAAACAGUGUGACACAGUAAAACCCAGAGGACUGCUUCUCUUUCCCUUCACCCUGACCUCAUCUGUGACUGACUCAGUAAACAGACCCAUCACACCAAGAAAAGACCGAUACAUACAUAUCUGUGGUGCACCACACACAGAUGAACCAACAUGGUCCUGCUGAGCAUUGAUGUUGGUUGAGGGGGAUGAGGAAGCCCCAGCUUUUUCAACACACAGCUAGAUGGGGAGUGUUGAAGAUCUCCAAUGUGAGUGCAUCAGAAAAAUUGAUCCUGCUUCCUCCAAACAAUUAUGCAACUGACUGUCAACCCCAUUUUGAGACUUCGAGCAGAAUGCCUUGGCCCUUGAUUUUUAAAGCGGAAAUCGACGGUAUGAAAGCGGACGUGUCCAAGGGAGGCUUGCUCAGCUCUGGCAUAUAAAAGGACAGAGAUGGAAGAUUACAACAGCACCGAGAUGAGCUUCUGGCUCCCAGCCUUUUUCUUAGGAAUCAGCCUUCUCUUUGCCUUGGGCUUUUGGUCUAGCAGUAGCUAAUGCGAGAUGACAGGCUCGGCUCCCUUAAGGGCUAACGUGGGCAAUUUCAGUCCUGGCAUUUCAAUUUAUCUUUAACCAGCAGUUUUCAAAAGGGUACAGCUAAAAAAGAACUUGGCUUGGUCUCUCUACAUCUUCCCUUCCCCCUUCCCCACUCCUUCCACCACAACAACACAACAGGAGAAAUCAGUGACACAAGAUGUAUUUUAAAAGAUUAACUCCUUAAGGAGGAGUUUUAAAGGAAAUGGACCAACAUUUUCUUCAUAUCAGGUCUUUCCACUCUUCCAUUCCCUCCCCAGCCCUUCCAACAUGUUUUCCUCAUCAAAAUAAACACCUCCUCCCUUUGAUUUUGCAUGCCCAUUUGCUUUAUGACUGAUAACCACAGCAAAAUGGAUGACUACAAGAGGUAACAUUAUGUGGGUGUAUCCACACUGCAGAAUUAAAGCAGUUUGACACCACUUUAUCUGUCAU